rnacentral:rRNA from 1 species
GACGAACGCUGGCGGCGUGCUUAACACAUGCAAGUCGAACGAAGAGCGAUGGAAGCUUGCUUCUAUCAAUCUUAGUGGCGAACGGGUGAGUAACGCGUAAUCAACCUGCCCUUCAGAGGGGGACAACAGUUGGAAACGACUGCUAAUACCGCAUACGAUCCAAUCUCGGCAUCGGGACUGGAUGAAAGGUGGCCUCUAUUUAUAAGCUAUCACUGAAGGAGGGGAUUGCGUCUGAUUAGCUAGUUUGAGGGGUAACGGCCCACCAAGGCGAUGAUCAGUAGCCGGUCUGAGAGGAUGAACGGCCACAUUGGGACUGAGACACGGCCCAGACUCCUACGGGAGGCAGCAGUGGGGAAUCUUCCGCAAUGGACGAAAGUCUGACGGAGCAACGCCGCGUGAGUGAUGACGGCCUUCGGGUUGUAAAGCUCUGUUAAUCGGGACGAAUGGUUCUUGUGCGAAUAGUGCGAGGAUUUGACGGUACCGGAAUAGAAAGCCACGGCUAACUACGUG